rnacentral:rRNA from 1 species
CCAAAGGUUGACCUCGGAUCAGGUAGGAAUACCCGCUGAACUUAAGCAUAUCAAUAAGCGGAGGAAAAGAAACCAACAGGGAUUGCCUCAGUAACGGCGAGUGAAGCGGCAACAGCUCAAAUUUGAAAUCUGGCCCUAGGCCCGAGUUGUAAUUUGCAGAGGAUGCUUUUGGUGCGGUGCCUUCCAAGUUCCCUAGAACGGGACGCCAGAGAGGGUGAGAGCCCCGUACAGUUGGACACCAAGCCUUUGUAAAGCUCCUUCGACGAGUCGAGUAGUUUGGGAAUGCUGCUCAAAAUGGGAGGUAUAUUUCUUCUAAAGCUAAAUACCGGCCAGAGACCGAUAGCGCACAAGUAGAGUGAUCGAAAGAUGAAAAGCACUUUGAAAAGAGGGUUAAACAGCACGUGAAAUUGUUAAAAGGGAAGCGCUUGUGACCAGACUUGCGUCCGGUGAAUCACCCAGCUCUCGCGGCUGGGGCACUUCGCCGGCUCAGGCCAGCAUCAGCUCGCUGUCGGGGACAAAAGCUUCAGGAACGUAGCUCUCUUCGGGGAGUGUUAUAGCCUGUUGCAUAAUACCCUUCGGCGGGCUGAGGUACGCGCUCCGCAAGGAUGCUGGCAUAAUGGUCAUCAGCGACCCGUCUUGAAACACGGACCAAGGAGUCAACCUUAUGUGCGAGUGUUCGGGUGUCAAACCCCUACGCGUAAUGAAAGUGAACGCAGGUGAGAGCUUCGGCGCAUCAUCGACCGAUCCUGAUGUUCUCGGAUGGAUUUGAGUAAGAGCAUAUAGGGUUGGACCCGAAAGAAGGUGAACUAUGCGUGUAUAGGGUGAAGCCAGAGGAAACUCUGGUGGAGGCUCGCAGCGGUUCUGACGUGCAAAUCGAUCGUCAAAUAUGCGCAUGGGGGCGAAAGACUAAUCGAAC